GCGCCCGUAGCUCAGCUGGAUAGAGCAGAGCCCUUCUAAGGCUAAGGUCGUAGGUUCAAAUCCUGCCGGGCGUACCA
rnacentral:tRNA from 1 species